AACAAACACACUGAAAAAUCCUUAGUCCUGAAUACGUUUGCAACUUCAACUCGCUAUUUUUUACAUAUCGGCCAAUGUGUAAUUUUCUUUUUCUUUUGGGAAACAAUUGGACCUGCUGACGUUCAAGCGAAUACCAUUUAUCGGUACCAUCUAUUCACCCGCAUCGAUUGAUCAUAUUGAUGUAAUCAUUAGCAGACUUUAAUUGGAAGAUGUGAAUGUUCAGCCAUAGCAAAUGACGCUCUGCACCGAUCGAGAAUAAAGGAUUCGAAACUGGAGUACAUGGACUUACAGUGUCAUGCAGAACACCGACUGAACAAAAAGGACGAAAGUGAAACAGGAACUUAACACUUAAUCACCCACAUCAGUGGUUUCAUAACCAUCACAGACAAUGAUAGAAAUAUAAGGAGUGGUGGUUGUUGAAAAAAAUUUAAAGAGAAGAAAGGGAGUUAAAGGGAAGGGAAGUAGAAGAAAAAAGGAUAGAAAAGUAAUAUUAUUAUCAUAUAUAAAAAGAAUUAAAUCGAAACAAAUGGAGUAGGCGAUGGAAAUUCAACCUGGAAAAACUCUGGCAUGAAGCUUAACCUGGGACGUACUGAUGAGAACAAUAUACUCAGCUUGCUUUAUGAGACCUGAUUAGGUUUAUUGCCCACUACAUAACCAAUAUGAUUCAUUUAUUACGAUUAUUAUUAUUAUUAUUAUUAUUAUUAUUAUUAUUAUUAUUAUUAUAGGAACAUAAAGGACAUAGACUUGGAUGUUGAGACUGCAAAUGCAGCAAUUAACUAUACUUAAAAAAUAUAUAUAUAAAUGUUUGCCAUUAUUUUUUUUUUUAACAUAUAUUAUUAGGAUUAGUUUUUACUAAAUAGAUUUUAUGGUUAUACAUUAGUAGAU